AUCGCCGCCAGACAAACUACAGCGAAAGCAUUUGCCAAGGAUGUUUUCAUUGAUCUGGAGCGAAAGUCAGAGGUUCGAAGACGAUCAGAUACCGUCCUAGUUCUGACCAUAAACGAUGCCAACUGACGAUCCGUGGGGGUUCUUAUGACCCCACGGGCAGUCCCCGGGAAACUUAAGUCUUUGGGCUCCGGGGGAAGUAUGGUUGCAAAGCUGAAACUUAAAGGAAUUGACGGAAGGGCACCACCAGGAGUGGAGCCUGCGGCUUAAUUCGACUCAACACGGGAAAACUCACCCGGCCCGGACACUGUGAGGAUUGACAGAUUGAUAGCUCUUUCUUGAUUCGGUGGUUGGUGGUGCAUGGCCGUUCUUAGUUGGUGGAGCGAUUUGUCUGGUUAAUUCCGAUAACGAACGAGACUUUGGCCUGCUAAAUAGUAUACCUGUCCUUCGUGCUUGUGUAGGCGGUUUUCACUGCCCAUUGGGUGGGUGAGGUAGUUCAUCGGGCGAGUGCUGCGCAGGUGUUUUUCUUAGAGGGACAAGCGGCGAAGCAGUCGCACGAAAAUGAGCAAUAACAGGUCUGUGAUGCCCUUAGAUGUCCGGGGCCGCACGUGCGCUACAAUGACGGUUUCAGCGAGUUUUGAAUCCUGGCCCGAAAGGGUUGGGUAAACUGUGCCAUAACCGUCGUCACUGGGAUCGGGGUUUGCAAUUGUUCCCCGUGAACGAGGAAUUCCUGGUAAGUGCAAGUCAUAAGCUUGCGCUGAUUACGUCCCUGCCCUUUGUACACACCGCCCGUCGCUACUACCGAUUGAAUGGUUUAGCAAGGUC
rnacentral:rRNA from 1 species